UCUCUCUGUUUUGAAUAGCUACUUAUAUGUAAUUCUCUUUCUCAUAUAUGAAUCUGACUUUGACUACUCUAUUGUAUGCUAAGUCUUUUUUUUAAGGUUGAGAAAAACAAGAAAGAGGGUUUGAAUUGUUUUGGAAAUAAAAAAAACUUUUUCAGAAAUCAGACACACACAGAAUAAAAAGGAAAUGACACAGAAUUUU
rnacentral:lncRNA from 1 species